rnacentral:tRNA from 1 species
CCCGUUAGCUCAGAGUGGUAAAGAGUCUGCCUGCAAUGCAGGAGACCCAGGUUCGAUCCCUGGGAUGGGA